rnacentral:lncRNA from 1 species
CUAAAGAAACUUAAGAGAGAAAUAAAUAAAACAAAUAGACAUAACAGCUUGUGAAGACCUGGCCUCAGGAUAGUCACAAGCAGAAGCCUCCAGGCACUUUACAUCGUUCCUUGUGUGAGAAAACCUCAGCCACAGAUAAAGAGCGUAAUUUUCUCCUUGAGGAAUGUAACAUAAGUCAUCUGACAGAGCCUGAGUGAUCUGGUCACUCACCGCAAGUGCUCCAGCAGCCUCUUCCUAAUGCAGAAGCUUCCUGGGAUUGCACGUUGGCAUUUGUUUGUGGAGAGGAAACUGAGGCUCUUGGGAAGGUGGAAGUUGCACGUGGUUCUCACAGUCAACUGUGCCAGAAUAGGAGGCCAGGAACAACCUCUGUUGGAGAAGGACCCACCAGGCAUCCUUUCAAGAAAGCCAAGGUCCACAAAGGAUCCCCAAGGAAGAUGUUAA